UUUGAGUUCUGAUUUUGUUAGGUCUUUAUUGAUUUUGCUUUGGCCAAGAACUGGGAGUCUAGUUCAGGAAGUCUCCCCAUGUCUGAGCAAAGUGUGUGUUUGAGAAGCUUUGUCAAAACUGCUCCACAAGAGUGCAGUUCUAGGAAAGGCGGGGUGCCUCCUGCUCGCUCCAUGUCUCCGCAGAAGCUUGCCGUGCCGGCUGCAUCAUCCUGCCUCACCACUGACAACAGACACAGUAGUGACACCUUGUCUUUUGUCACUUUUUUUUUUUUUUUUUACAGCAUGACAGCCACCAUGACCAGUCAUACUAGAAGGAACCAUUUCUCUGCCCAAGAUCCUGAAGUCUGAGCUGGCUGUAGAGAGCAGGAGAAGGUAAUAGGGGUAUUGAUCUGAAGGCCCCCACGCCUCACUCGCUCUCCCUUCUAACACCUCCAAGGCCCAACUGCUGCUCACCAGAGAGCACAAGUCACCACCAAGAUACCCACAGCAAGAAGAUCUCUAGUAUUUCAUCACAUUAGUGAUACCUUCCCCAGUACACAUUGGAUUGUUAUGAAAAAGAAUUGAAUCAUAGGUGAUUGGAUAUUAACAUAUAUGAAUGUCCUGUGCAUUUUCCUUGUGAUUUUAUUUAUUUAUUUUCC